AAAAGAGGCCAGAGUGGAAAUUUUCAUGUUUAAAGUGGGUGGAAGAGGGGAGGAGAGAAAAAUAAGAGAUUUUUCUGAACUAUUUCCUUGGAUUGUUAGGGACAUACAUUUAUGAGGGUUUCAGAACCUGUGAAGUGGUCUUCCAGGGGUUUCUUUUAGUAUAGUAGUCGGGUAUAAGUCAAGGUUUCCAUCUAUGAAGGUGAUUUAUUGAAUACAAAAAUUAAAGUGUUUUUAUAAUAAUGUGUAUCCUAAAUAGUUUCCAUUGAUACUAAAUGGGAUGGGGAGGUUAGUAAAACUGAAUUAACGUUCAAAAUGUCAUUUCAGUGAGGAGAGGAAGGGGCAACGAUUCUCAGGUGUGUACAGCUUGAGUCCUGGGUCAGACUCACUCUGGGUCCAAAGCCUGGGAAUCUGCAUUUUGAUAUCUACCUGAAAUGAAAGAGUU
rnacentral:lncRNA from 1 species